rnacentral:rRNA from 1 species
GCCUACGGGAGGCUGCAGUGGGGAAUAUUGCGCAAUGGAGGAAACUCUGACGCAGCAACGCCGCGUGAAUGAUGAAGGCCUUAGGGUUGUAAAGUUCUGUCUUCUGGGACGAUAAUGACGGUACCAGAGGAGGAAGCCACGGCUAACUACGUGCCAGCAGCCGCGGUAAUACGUAGGUGGCAAGCGUUGUCCGGAUUUACUGGGCGUAAAGGAUGCGUAGGCGGAUAUUUAAGUCAGAUGUGAAAUACCCGGGAUCAACUUGGGUGCUGCAUUUGAAACUGGAUAUCUAGAGUGCGGGAGAGGUAAGUGGAAUUCCUAGUGUAGCGGUGAAAUGCGUAGAGAUUAGGAAGAACACCAGUGGCGAAGGCGACUUACUGGACCGUAACUGACGCUGAGGCAUGAAAGCGUGGGGAGCAAACAGGAUUAGAUACCCUGGUAGUC